rnacentral:rRNA from 1 species
UACGAAGGGGGCUAGCGUUGUUCGGAAUCACUGGGCGUAAAGCGCACGCAGGCGGAUCGUUAAGUCAGGGGUGAAAUGCCGAGGCUCAACCUCGGAACUGCCUUUGAUACUGGCUAUCUUGAGUGUGGGAGAGGUAUGUGGAACUCCGAGUGUAGAGGUGAAAUUCGUAGAUAUUCGGAAGAACACCAGUGGCGAAGGCGACAUACUGGCCCAUUACUGACGCUGAGGCUCGAAAGCGUGGGGAGCAAACAGG